AGGCUAGAGUCAUGCUCGGGUACUGGUUACUGCCUUAGUGUGCUAGAGCCCGCCAAGAGUAACUGCUGACCUUAGUUGCUGGCUCUGGCCCUCACGGCAUAGGCAGUCACCAGGUUAGCGACAUGG